rnacentral:rRNA from 1 species
UACGUAGGGUGCAAGCGUUGUCCGGAAUUAUUGGGCGUAAAGGGCUCGUAGGCGGUUUGUCGCGUCGGGAGUGAAAACUCAGGGCUCAACCCUGAGCGUGCUUCCGAUACGGGCAGACUAGAGGUAUGCAGGGGAGAACGGAAUUCCUGGUGUAGCGGUGGAAUGCGCAGAUAUCAGGAGGAACACCGGUGGCGAAGGCGGUUCUCUGGGCAUUACCUGACGCUGAGGAGCGAAAGCAUGGGGAGCGAACAGG